GUUUAUAUAGUUUAAAAAACAUUACAGUUUCAUUGUAAAAUUGGAAUUAUCCUAUAAAUA
rnacentral:tRNA from 1 species